GACGAACGCUGGCGGCGUGCCUAACACAUGCAAGUGGAGCGACGAACCAGGCUUCGGCCUGGGGCAAAGCCGCGAACGGGUGAGUAACACGUGGGUAACCUGCCCUGAUGAUUGGGACAACCCGAGGAAACUCGGGCUAAUACCGAAUGUGCCCUCCGGCCUCAAGGCCGCUGGGGAAAGGAAGCUUCGGCCUCCGCAUCGGGAUGGGCCCGCGGCCCAUUAGCUUGUUGGUGAGGUAACGGCUCACCAAGGCGACGAUGGGUAGCUGGUCUGGAGGACGAUCAGCCACACUGGGACUGAGACACGGCCCAGGCUCCUACGGGAGGCAGCAGUGGGGAAUCUUGCGCAAUGCGCGAAAGCGUGACGC
rnacentral:rRNA from 1 species